UACGGAGGGGGCAAGCGUUGUUCGGAAUCACUGGGUGUAAAGGGUGCGUAGGCGGUCCGUUAAGUCUGAUGUGAAAGCCCUGGGCUCAACUCAGGAAUUGCAUUGGAAACUGGCGGGCUGGAGUACGGGAGAGGGAAGCGGAAUUCCUGGUGUAGCGGUGAAAUGCGUAGAUACCAGGAGGAACACCGGUGGCGAAGGCGGGUCUCUGGGCCGUAACUGACGCUGAGGAGCGAAAGCGUGGGGAGCGAACAGG
rnacentral:rRNA from 1 species